AUAUCACCAAGCUCUUGCAUAGUUUCCUUGUGAGGGUAUCUAGUUCCCUCAAACUUCAACUCCUUCAAGUAUUGAUAGUACUCGCUCGGGGUUGGCUCUCUCUUCCUCCUUGGCCAGUUUCUUCUCUCAACAAGGGUUGGUGUAUCAUCCUCGAUGAUCUCAACCUCUUCCUCAGAAACCGCUUCUUCAAAGGGUGCCUCUUCAUGGUGUUCUUCUUCAGCUUCAACGACCCUCUUUCCCCGAGCUACUUCUUCUCUUUGCUUGGUUGAACGGCUUGAGCUUCAACCUUGAAUCAAGCUUAAUCUUUGAGCACGACGAGCUUGGCGAAUUUGGCGUUCAGUCAUGCCACUCAUGUCAAACGUCUCAACUUCCUCAUUAUCAACAGAGGAUCUUCUUGCCCGAGAUGAACUCUUCCUUCUUGAAUCCAUAGAGAUUGGUGAUGAGCUUCGACAGGGGAAACAAGAACAUUUCUCCAAGAGGUAUCAAAGGGGAAGGGAAUUGGUUUCUUUGGUGAUGAAAUUUUGAGCUUGAAACCGAUUGAAUGCUUGAGGAUGAACUUGGAAAUGAUCGAGUAACUUUGGUGAAGUAUGAUGAAGGGGAACGAAUUCUUAAAGAGUGAUAGGGAGCGUUUUAGGGGAAGGGUUUGGAAUGAAGACUUCAAAGCUUUGUGAGGGGGUUGCGGAAACGAGAUGAUGAAAGGGAGAGUUUCAAUGAAGGUUUGUCGAAAUCAAUGGGUGGAGGAGAAUGGUGUUUGGUUUCUUUGGGAAAGGAUGGAAAAGU
rnacentral:sRNA from 1 species